CCCCUCUCAGGGUCACACCUGGAGAGUUUCCAGUACUCUACCAGUCUCAGCUAUUGAAGGGAGAGUCAAGGAGAGGCCUACCCAUUCCAUUCCUUGCUUGAGCAGUGGCUAGCGAGUGGAAGGCAAUCUGCUACAAGG
rfam:Ornithorhynchus anatinus chromosome X5, whole genome shotgun sequence.